AAAAGCCUAAUUAUAUCGAGGGUGUUUAGGCGCUGGAGUCAUGUUCUUGGGCUGAUUUUGUCGUCCUCUCGCCUUAUAGGCACUCUACUCGGGCUUGCGGAGGUGGGUUUAUUUUGUACCAUUCACGUUCAUAUUUCACCGUUUGUUGCAUUUUUGUUGCGUUUAACUUGAUUGUAAAACAUGCCGAUCGAAAGGGGGUGUGACAUUCAUAUUUUGUCAAUAUUCAGUGUUUUAUCGUUCGUAGAAAAUGUAAAAUUCCAUUACGUUUUUAGCAUUCAAUCAGACAUUAUUGUGAGGUUUUGUAUUAGUGUUCCUAAAAAUAGAUAUACCGGCCCCCAGACACAUUUUUUUCUCUAAAUGUGGCCCCGAGUCAAAAUAAUUGCCCAGGCCUGACUAAGAUGAACACAACAAAAUGAACACUGACCUGUGCCCAACCAAAAAAUAUGUAUUUUUAUACAAGUUUUCAUAACGUUAAUGUUGUUUGAUUAUUGCAAUGUAGUUGAAAUAAAAAACAAUUUUUUCCAUAUGUUUUGUUAUUUUGGUGCUUGUUUCAGUAAUCCAGUACAUUGUCCCUUAAAGAAGAGGACCUCAAGUAGAACAAAAGGCUGAGUCAAGUCAGAAAGAAUUGUCCUCGUCUUCUCCAAAGGAAUCCACACCUGAGUCAGAUCUGAGGACCUAAACUCACAUUAGGUGGUUGGAGGCGGUGGGCGUGGCCGGCUCAGAGUCCCGGGAGAGGGCGGCCACCGCCAUGAUUUGAGGGGAAGAGCCCAGGCCCUCGGGGGGGUCUUCCUCCAUGUCGUCGGUGGUGAUGAUGGCCACGGCGGCGCC